GUUGUAUCUUGUAUUACUAGAACAUUCUACUCUCUGGCACUCAAGAUGAUGUGGUGCUAAAGGUAGCUGAUUUCGGUCUCUCAAGAAGUUUACAUCCGGGUGAUUAUGCGGAGACAGUUUGUGGAUCCCCGUUGUACAUGGCACCUGAAGUUCUUCAGUUUGAAAGAUACGAUGGGAAGGUUGACAUGUGGAGUAUUGGCGUAAUUCUUUUCGAGCUUCUCAAUGG